AAGCACUUUUCAGCACCGGACAGAGACCAUUUCUCCACGCAGCUCUGUGUACAAAAAAAAAAGUGAAGAAAAAUGUGAUAAAUUAGAAAUAUGCUAAUGCGUGUGAGUGUGUGCAAGUGUGUGUGGUGUGAGGUGAAUGAGGCCCUGCUCACCCCCUCCUGUGCGGCCCUGCUAAACCAUUUCGAUACAAUAUGGUUGUGCGAUGGCCCUCGUGUGUUUGGGACACAGCGGCUCAGCUCAGCGGCUCCGCGAGCUUUUGUUCAGCAGAAUGGACUUUUUCAGAAGCCUCUCUUUCUCUCCCUCUCUCUCUCUCCCUCUCUCUCUCUCUCUUUCUGCAGUUGCCAGGGCUCUACAGUUUUCAAAGCAUGCGUCAUUUUUCACCAAGUCCUCGUUUUAAUAUUCACAAAGAACGUGAGUGUAUGAAACAGGCCGUUCACUUGUUCAUUGACAUGAACUUCACUGCUGCCCCACUGAUCCUUUUCCUCUCCGAAGCGUUUCCCAGCGUGGGAUGGAUUUGCAAUACAAAUGCAGCUCAAGGCUCCUCCAACACAUGUGAAGUCAGCCACUGCCUCUUUUCCAACUGCUGCUCUUUUUGAAUUCUGAUACAUCAGCUCACAGAUGCCUUGUGCUGAUCGACAUCACCCUUUGGAGUAAUGAGGGGAAAGAACGCCAUCUACUCACCCAAAGAGAGCAAGGCCAAUUGUGCUCUCUCGGGGCUCUGGCAGCUGAUGCCGAGCUGCAUGACAGGGAUUCGACCCAGCGAUCUCCUGAUCAUAGUGGCAGCACUUUAAGUCGCUAGACCACUCGGCUCCCUCUUCUUUUUUUUUUAUUUUGAGAUCCAAAAGGUACAGUAUUUUGAUAAUGACCCCUCUACAGUUGUCACUGUAAGAUACCACCUGUAUUUUUUUUUUUACUCUUCUCUCCUAAUUUCCCACUUACCAAUAGGGCUGUGUAUUGGCAAGAACUUGUCGAUAUGAUACAUAUCACAAUACAUUGGUUACAAUUCAAUAUAUUAAGAUAAGACAGUAUAUUGAGAUUUUAAAAAUAAAAUUUUAGGAGAACUAUAAAAAUAUACUAUA
rnacentral:lncRNA from 1 species